rnacentral:rRNA from 1 species
GCGUUAAUCGGAAUUACUGGGCGUAAAGCGUGCGCAGGCGGUGAGCUGUGUCCGAUGUGAAAGCCCCGGGCUUAACCUGGGAAUGGCAUUGGAAACUGGCUCGCUGGAGUGUGGCAGAGGGGGGUGGAAUUCCGCGUGUAGCAGUGAAAUGCGUAGAGAUGCGGAGGAACACCGAUGGCGAAGGCAGCCCCCUGGGCUAACACUGACGCUCAGGCACGAAAGCGUGGGGAGCAAACAGG